UAUGAAGAACGUAGCGAAAUGCGAUAAGUAAUGUGAAUUGCAGAAUUCAGUGAAUCAUCGAAUCUUUGAACGCACAUUGCGCCCGCCAGUAUUCUGGCGGGCAUGCCUGUUCGAGCGUCAUUUCAACCCUCAAGCUCAGCUUGGUGUUGGGACUCGCGGUAACCCGCGUUCCCCAAAUCGAUUGGCGGUCACGUCGAGCUUCCAUAGCGUAGUAAUCAUACACCUCGUUACUGGUAAUCGUCGCGGCCACGCCGUAAAACCCCAACUUCUGAAUGUUGACCUCGGAUCAGGUAGGAAUACCCGCUGAACUUAAGCAUAUCAAUAAGCGGAGGA
rnacentral:misc_RNA from 1 species